rnacentral:lncRNA from 1 species
AUAUCUCAAAACUACUCAAAACAAUAAGAUUAAAUAAAUAUUCAUUAUAGUCCAAAAUAAAAGUUCACAAUUAACAACUUAAUCAAAAUAAAGCUUCAUAACAAAUCCAUGAAUCAUAAUCACUAAAACAAAUCCCAAAAUCCAAAAAAAAAAAAAAAAAAACACAAUAACAGAAAAUGUCACGCUCCACUAGGCCGCUCCAGGAGCAUCUUGAAGUCCUCCCUGCCCUACCUGUGGAUCCUCAGGAGAGAUAUCUGCAUCUAAAAAGGUGUAACAAGGAAGGGAUGAGCAUUUCCACAUUGCUCAGUAUGGUGCCUAACACCCAAGGGGUUAAGGGGAUUAUUAAGUUUCAAAGAAUACGAAAAGAACACUUCAACACCACAGGAACAAUUCAACAAUAUCAAUCAAACCACAUAGUUUAAUAUAUAAUUUUAUACACAAUUUCACAAUAUUCAACAAUUACAUGAAUGCACAUGAACGUGUGACACACAGUCAUACAAUGCACUAUUGUUCUCGGGUUUUCACCGAAGGAUACGCGUCCGCACCCAAAUACACUCCCCAUUCGGAGUCUUCCCGGGGUAACUUUUGGGUCUUUCACCCUAGGAAUCUCUCUCCCUUCUUAAUUCGCCCCACACGGCUUUCACUUCUCAUCACUAUUUUUUUUUUUUCCAUUUCAUACACUUUUCACAAUCUUCAUAAUUUUAUUUAUUUUCUACAUAACCAUGAUGCAAAUGAAUGCCACAAACUCCAACAUUCCUCAAUAAUUUCAACAAUUCCAACAUUCCUCAAUAAUUCCAAUAAAAUAAUUUCACACAUUAAAAUUUCUGAUAAUAUCCCAAAUAAAUAUUCAAAAAUUUGCAUAUCAAAAAUCUUGAAAUUUUACCACACUUACGGAAUUUUUCAACCACUAUAAUAAUUUCUAAUAUUCGAAAUCAACUAACUUUCUAUCAUAAAAAUUCCAAAAAUUUUCUAACUAAUGCUUAAAAAUUCACAAAUCACUAUAUUUGAAAUUUAACCCUAAUUUUGGAAUUUUUCAACCCUUCCAAUAAUUUUUUUUUCAUUUUAAAACAAUUAAUUAUCAAUCAAAAUCAAUUUCCUGCAAUUACAAAAAUUCCAAACAAAUUCCAAAUAUUCUGGAAAAAUUCAUACAACCCCCAUAAUUCCUAAUUAACUCAUAUUGACAAUAUUUACAAUUUUUUUUCAAGGGAAAAACAUAAAAAUUUAAGUUUUAGGGUUAGGGUCCCCUACCUCGGAUCUGAAAAUUUGGCUGUAAAAAACGAAAUCAGCCACCGCAAGCUUGUUCUUCUAGUCGAAUAGAGUACUUCCUUCGAAUUUGAGCCGAAACGGAGAUCGUUUGGCCGUCCAAACGGUCGGUCAAAGAUCCGACGAGUGCCCUAAUUUAUUCACAGUAACCUUUCUCUCUCUCUCUUCCCACGCGUGCUGCACUUCUCCCCUUUUC